UGCAUAAGUUCCCAAUGUUCCCAACCCAUGUUCCCCAUGUGGGUCCACAAUGUUCACAACACUUCAAGGAUAAGCAUUGUGAGCAAAAACAUGUUUUUGACCCCUCCUCAAGAAUACUUCACUGCGACCACUUUGCAAAGAAUCGAUCGUGGCUCCCCAGUUCUAGGUCUGAAGACCUAACCUAACACUGUAAGACUUUGAAAUCACUAAGACGUCUACAGUGGAG
rnacentral:lncRNA from 1 species